rnacentral:rRNA from 1 species
ACUCCUACGGGAGGCAGCAGUGAGGAAUAUUCGGCAAUGGGCGCAAGCCUGACCGAGCCAUGCCGCGUGAGUGAAGAAGGCCUUAGGGUUGUAAAGCUCUUUCAACGGUGAAGAUAAUGACGGUAACCGUAGAAGAAGCCCCGGCUAACUUCGUGCCAGCAGCCGCGGUAAUACGAAGGGGGCUAGCGUUGUUCGGAAUUACUGGGCGUAAAGCGCGUGUAGGCGGAUUUUUAAGUCAGGGGUGAAAUCCCGGAGCUCAACUCCGGAACUGCCUUUGAUACUGGAAAUCUAGAGUUCGAAAGAGGUGUGUGGAACUCCUAGUGUAGAGGUGGAAUUCGUAGAUAUUAGGAAGAACACCAGAGGCGAAGGCGGCACACUGGUUCGAUACUGACGCUGAGACGCGAAAGCGUGGGAGCAAACAGGAUUAGAUACCCUGGUAGGUCAGUC